GCCUGCUUAGCAUAGUGGCUAAUGCGUUGCACUUGUAUAACUACCUACCCCUCCUCAAAAAAGGGCGUAAUGUAAACGACGACAUGCAAAGAUCACAGGUUCGAUUCCUGUAGUAGGCA